AUGACAUCAUGCUACAGGGCAGUAAGAAGAUACUGGAAAAACUUUGAACCAAAGUGGGUUACGGCAUAGAAAUGAGUGAACCUUAAUUCUUGAUCUUCAGUUAUGGAGAAAAAAAAAGUGUAUCAUGACACAUUGUCCCCACUUUAAAACAUAUACACGUUAGGACAACCAUAGAUAUUUAUAUAUGGUUCUGCUUUAUGAAAAUAUAAAAGUCCAGUUAAUUACUGAGCUGCACUAUCAAUGCAGGGUUUGUUUACCUGAUGAGAUUUUGCAAAACACAACCUGCUUUUACACAUUGAAAGAGAGUAUCAUCUUUUCUGGCUUGUUAUGUAUAGAAACAGGAGUAUUGUGUUUAUAAUACUUUGAAAAUAACUGACAUGGUUCAGCAUUCAUUACAUACUAGCCAUAAAAUGCCGUUAAUCUACAAUUAAAAAAUCGAAAGCAUAUUAAAUACAAACUUCUGCUACAAGGUAAGGAAUGGAUAAAAUUGAACUUCUCUUUAUAAUGUAAAAGUUGAGAAAGAACAAGAAUUGGUGGUCUUAUCCUGCUAUGGAAUAUGGUCCUGAUAUGAUUAAUGUGGCUGCAAAAACUAAAUAUCUACAUCCAAGAAAGAGAAACCAAAACCAUCUGGAAGCAUUGGUGAUAAUGAUUACUGUGAUCCAACAGCUAACCAGCAGUUUGGUGCAACUGCAGGGAAUAUACUCUAAGAAGCUUUGAUGGUGAUCUUGCAAGAAGAAGAACCCCAUAUUCUCAGAUGCACCUGCUCAGAGUAGAGGUCCCAUGAUGUUUUGAAAUAAGAUAGUCUGAACUGUGUCACUUGAAUGCCACCAAAAUGCAUUAUGCUUUAAGAGACAUAGAUAAGAAGCAGAGGAUGUAUUUAACAGCGCCUUGCUCUCCCUGAACCAUAGAUUCGGACAACUGAAGAGUUCUCUCAUCUUUCUCAGUUCUGUACCGAGAAGAGAACACUAGUACAGCCAUGCAGUUGAGCACACGUGUAACUACAGUGUGGAUUCUCACACUGUAUGUCAGCUUUGUUCAAACAAGUGUGAAAAUGCAGUAGAGCAUUAUGGGCUGGAACUUGAGCUUCCGGUGAGAAGCAAGUUCGUGGGGAAGAUGCCAUAUUCCCGGGCUGAGAAGUAUAAUAAUAUAACAGAAAGACCUGGAGGCACAUCUUCACAAACUUUGUGUGUCAAAAGAAGAAAAAUAAAAUCCCUUCAUGUUGGCACCAAGGAAGACUUGAAGGGACUGGAGAAAUGGUUCACUGGCUAAGAGUUCUCAUGUCCCUCACAGGGCAUCUAAGUUCAGUUCACAGCAUCCAUGCUGGGAAGCUCAUAACAGCCUGUAACUCCAACUCCAGAAGAUUCGAUGCUAUCUUCUGCUGUAUACUCAGAGACAUGCACAAUAAAAAUAAAUAACAUCAAAAACGA